AGGGUUCGAUUCUGGCUCAGGACGAACGCUGGCGGCGCGCCUAACACAUGCAAGUCGAACGGAGCUUAGAGAGCUUGCUUUUUAAGCUUAGUGGCGAACGGGUGAGUAACGCGUGAGUAACCUGCCCUAGAGUGGGGGACAACAGUUGGAAACGACUGCUAAUACCGCAUAAGCCCACGGUACCGCAUGGUACUGAGGGAAAAGGAUUUAUUCGCUUUAGGAUGGACUCGCGUCCAAUUAGCUAGUUGGUGAGGUAACGGCCCACCAAGGCGACGAUCGGUAGCCGGACUGAGAGGUUGAACGGCCACAUUGGGACUGAGACACGGCCCAG
rnacentral:rRNA from 1 species